rnacentral:rRNA from 1 species
UACGUAGGGCGCAAGCGUUGUCCGGAAUUACUGGGCGUAAAGGGCUCGUAGGCGGCCAACUAAGUCGGAUGUGAAAUCCCCAGGCUCAACCUGGGAACUGCAUCCGAUACUGGAUGGCUUGAAUUCGGGAGAGGGAUGCAGAAUUCCAGGUGUAGCGGUGAAAUGCGUAGAUAUCUGGAGGAACACCGGUGGCGAAGGCGGCAUCCUGGACCGGUAUUGACGCUGAGGCGCGGAAAGCCAGGGGAGCAAAGCGGG